CCCUCAUAUAUUCUCCGAGGCUGUAUUUCCUAAGGAUUAUUCUAUGGAAUACAGCCCUGAGUAAAAAACAAUUUUACUCACGGGGUAUAGCUGGAAACGGUUAUACCUCCCCUUUCUUGGAAAGGAGAAUAAGUGAUAGGCUU
rnacentral:ncRNA from 2 species